UUAGGAAUCUUGCGCAAUGGGCGAAAGCCUGACGCAGCGACGUCGCGUGACUGAUGAAGUCUUUCGGGAUGUAAAAGUCUUUUUUGCGGGAAGAAGGAUGUGACGGUACCGCAAGAAUAAGCCCCGGCUAACUACGUGCCAGCAGCCGCGGUAAUACGUAGGGGGCGAGCGUUGUCCGAAUUCACUGGGCGUAAAGCGCGCGUAGGCGGGUUUUUAAGUUGUGGGUGAAAUCCCGAGGCUCAACCUCGGAACUGCCUGCAAAACUGGGGACCUGGAGUUAUGGAGAGGGAAGUGGAAUUCCUGGUGUAGCGGUGAAAUGCGUAGAUAUCAGGAGGAACACCUGUGGCGAAGGCGGCUUCCUGGCCAUAUACUGACGCUGAGGUGCGAAAGCUAGGGGAGCGAACGGG
rnacentral:rRNA from 1 species